UACGUAGGUGACAAGCGUUGUCCGGAUUUACUGGGCGUAAAGAGCGCGCAGGCGGUCGAUCAAGUCGAGUGUGAAAGCCCCCGGCUCAACUGGGGAGGGUCAUUCGAUACUGAUCGACUCGAAGGCAGGAGAGGGUAGUGGAAUUCCCGGUGUAGUGGUGAAAUGCGUAGAUAUCGGGAGGAACACCGGUGGCGAAGGCGGGUCUCUGGGCAACAACUGACGCUGAGGAGCGAAAGCGUGGGGAGCGAACAGG
rnacentral:rRNA from 1 species